rnacentral:rRNA from 1 species
AUACGUAGGGGGCGAGCGUUGUCCGGAAUUACUGGGCGUAAAGGGUGCGUAGGCGGCUGAUUAAGUCAGAUGUGAAAUACCAGGGCUCAACCCUGGGGGUGCAUUUGAAACUGGCCAGCUUGAGCGCAGGAGAGGGAAGUGGAAUUCCUAGUGUAGCGGUGAAAUGCGUAGAGAUUAGGAGGAACACCAGUGGCGAAGGCGACUUCCUGGACUGUAACUGACGCUGAGGCACGAGAGCGUGGGGAGCAAACAGGAUUAGAUACCCUGGUAGUCCACGCCGUAAACGAUGGAUACUAGGUGUAGGGGGUUAUUUACACCUUCUGUGCCGGAGUUAACGCAAUAAGUAUCCCGCCUGGGGAGUACGGCUGCAAGGUUGAA